rnacentral:lncRNA from 1 species
AAAAACGUACUGGUGUUAUAAUGUUUGCUAUCCUUGUGAACGGAAUUGGAACAAAAAAGUAAUAAAGGCCUAUUCACCCCCCCCCCCCCCCCUCCUAGGACCUUCACUCAGUCAACCACAAGGCUUUAGCAAUCUCUUGUCUCUCAUCUACAAUCGCAUUCGUAUGGAAGGCUUCGUUGUUUUCGACUACUUCCAUCUCUACCCCAAGUUCUUGGACAUGGUGUUGCCUUACAUCAAAGAAGGAAAAAUAGUGUAUCUAAAAGAUAUAGUUGAAGGCCUCGACAGUGCUCCAGCUGCUCUUGUAGGACUUUUUAGUGGUCGCAAUGUCGGAAAACAAGUGGUUUUGGUUGCUCCGGCCAGCUGAACGAGUUUGCUGUAUCUUCCAUCUAGGGUGGCUUCUUACAUACUCUCAUUAUGCCUAGGGGACGGAGGCAUAGUUGGCGACUAGGUGUGUGGACGGUGUGGUUAAUUGGGUUCAAAAUUGUGUUCAAUGUUGGAUUUCUUGACUGAAUUUCUAGAUUUAUUGUAACAAAAUAAAAAUAAUGAGGUUCUUUCGAGUGACAACGGUGGCACGCCUAUCAUGUGUAUUGUAGAAAGGGCCAAUUACAUAUAACUCCACUUUGAGACAUUUUUUCCCACAUAGAUCCACCCCAACAUUUUUACCCACAUAAGUCCACCCAAGUCUAAAUAAAGUUUUGUAUUAAGUAUUAAAGUUCAACAUAAUUACAGACUGCCAUCCAACAAAAAAAAUUAGAUUUUCUCCUUUAAAUGUACAAGAAUGCCACUAGUAUAAAAAGUCAACAACCACUCUCAUUUCGGAACAGUCUCCGGCGGACCUCCGGUGAGAUUUCCAGCAGACCUCCGGCGAGGUUUCCAGCCGACCUCCGGCGAAGUUUCCGGCCGACCUCCGGCGAGAUUUCCGACUGACCUCCGGCGAGGUUUCCGGCCGACCUCCGACGAUGACAAAAAUUACUACUACCAGCUAAAAAAGCUACUACCACCAGCUAUAAAAGUUACUACCACCGCCUACAAAAGCUACUACAAAAGUUUCCG